GAUCUCGGGUCGAGACGAAAGAAUUUCUGAGAGGCGUUUGGGUUAUGAUCUUUUCUUUUUUAGGUUACGGACGACGAAGUUUGGAAGAGCUUAUUUCUUUUCUGUUAGACGAUGUUUUUGUAUUAUUUUAGUAUUUAUGUUUCUCUCGCCUUUAACUUUGCAAGUUUUGUAAGAGGGAUAGGAUUUUGAUAUGAGAUGCUUGUAAAUUAAUAUAUAUAUAUAUAUAUAUAUGUAUGUAUAUAUGUAUUUCCUGUGAGUAUUGUAAUUU